GACGAACGCUGGCGGCGUGCUUAACACAUGCAAGUCGAACGGAAAGGCCCUGCUUUUGUGGGGUGCUCGAGUGGCGAACGGGUGAGUAACACGUGAGUAACCUGCCCUUGACUUUGGGAUAACUUCAGGAAACUGGGGCUAAUACCGGAUAGGAGCUCCUGCUGCAUGGUGGGGGUUGGAAAGUUUCGGCGGUUGGGGAUGGACUCGCGGCUUAUCAGCUUGUUGGUGGGGUAGUGGCUUACCAAGGCUUUGACGGGUAGCCGGCCUGAGAGGGUGACCGGCCACAUUGGGACUGAGAUACGGCCCAGACUCCUACGGGAGGCAGCAGUGGGGAAUAUUGCACAAUGGGCGGAAGCCUGAUGCAGCAACGCCGCGUGCGGGAUGACGGCCCUCGGGUUGUAAACCGCUUUCGCCUGUGACGAAGCGUGAGUGACGGUAAUGGGUAAAGAAGCACCGGCUAACUACGUGCCAGCAGCCGCGGUGAUACGUAGGGUGCGAGCGUUGUCCGGAUUUAUUGGGCGUAAAGGGCUCGUAGGUGGUUGAUCGCGUCGGAAGUGUAAUCUUGGGGCUUAACCCUGAGCGUGCUUUCGAUACGGGUUGACUUGAGGAAGGUAGGGGAGAAUGGAAUUCCUGGUGGAGCGGUGGAAUGCGCAGAUAUCGGGAGGAACACCAGUGGCGAAGGCGGUUCUCUGGGCCUUUCCUGACGCUGAGGAGCGAAAGCGUGGGGAGCGAACAGGCUUAGAUACCCUGGUAGUCCACGCUGUAAACGGUGGGUACUAGGUGUGGGGUCCAUUCCACGGGUUCCGUGCCGUAGCUAACGCUUUAAGUACCCCGCCUGGGGAGUACGGCCGCAAGGCUAAAACUCAAAGGAAUUGGCGGGGCCCCGCACAAGCGGCGGAGCAUGCGGAUUAAUUCGAUGCAACGCGUAGAACCUUACCUGGGUUUGACAUGGAUCGGGAGUGCUCAGAGAUGGGUGUGCCUCUUUUGGGGUCGGUUCACAGGUGGUGCACGGCUGUCGUCAGCUCGUGUCGUGAGAUGUUGGGUUAAGUCACGCAACGAGCGCAACCCUUGUUCACUGUUGCCAGCACGUUAUGGUGGGGACUCAGUGGAGACCGCCGGGGUCAACUCGGAGGAAGGUGGGGAUGACGUCAAGUCAUCAUGCCCCUUAUGUCCAGGGCUUCACGCAUGCUACAAUGGCUGGUACAGAGAGUGGCGAGCCUGUGAGGGUGAGCGAAUCUCGGAAAGCCGGUCUCAGUUCGGAUUGGGGUCUGCAACUCGACCUCAUGAAGUCGGAGUCGCUAGUAAUCGCAGAUCAGCAACGCUGCGGUGAAUACGUUCCCGGGGCU
rnacentral:rRNA from 1 species